UAGAUGGAAAUAUAUUUCACUUUUGGCAGUGGCAAAGGGUUUUUCUCCGACUGGGACAUACAUGGGACUAAAAAUAAGGACGCCUUUUAUUUCCAGAAUCCUUGACAAUUUACAAAAUGCUUGAACACAUGGGAUUCUAUCUGAUCCUCACAAGACAGAGGAAUGUCGUUAGAGGAAAUUGUAUGCAUCACUCUUUGAUAAGAAAAUAUCGGUGGCUCGUGAACUAGAAUGGCUUUCAAGAAGAUUUCUGGCCUGUCAUUAACAGGAACAAUCCAACCGAUAGCAUGAAGGGAGAUAGGAAAGAUACUCUCCCCAAGAAGGAAAAAUUGAAAGGAAGGUACCUUUAAUGGCAACGUGCAUUUACCGUGAUGAAGACAGACUUCUAUUAUUCAACCGGGGGCCGUUAUAGAACACGAUUCUAAGAGAUAAGUAAUGAGAUGCCGGAAGUGAAUAAUGAGAUGUGAGCUUUGAAAGUCAAGUUGCAGCUCACUGAAGAGGAAUUAUUACCAUACUUAACACUUAUAUUGCACUACAUUGAUUGUAGUGCACUUCAAGGUGGUUAUAACUCUGGGAGUCCAGAGCAGAUAUUGGGAAGAAUUCAAGAGGCUCUGAUCACGGCAAAACUGGGGAUGCAAAUCUGGCAAGGGCUCUCAGCCAGCCUAGCGUCUCUCCGUGGGACAUAUGUUUCUCACUCUUACUUCCUCGCUUUCCGAGAGUGUUGUCAUUGGAUAUCCUGCUGGAGACUUCGAUUCCACAUAUAGGAGAGAUCAUACGGUAUCUGUCUUUCUUUGUCUCACUUCUUUCACUUCACAUAAUGCCCUUGAGGUCCAUCCACGUCACAAAUGCCUCUUCCUCUCAGGGACCAUUUACAGAAUCCACCCCCGCGGGCACACCAGCCUCCCAGACUGUGAAGACUAGGCGCGUCCGGGGGUCGCCUGCACCAGCGUUUCCCCCGCAAGAAGGACUCUAGUGCGCAGCCUUGCAGUCCGUGUUAGCAACCCCUCAGGGUUGUCCUCAGCUGUUCUCGCUCAGUUGUAUCACUCGCUGCAGUUCAGCCCGAUAGCCAUCCACUCGUCUUGGUAGGUCCAUCAAUCAAACUACCCGGGAAGGAGAUCUAUCGCAGCGGACCUGUGAGACGGCCUCUCUUCCAGGGAUAAAACCUGUCACUUACACCUAAAGUGAAGACUGUUACGAAAUUUCCCAGAAAAGU